UACGGGGGGGGCAAGCGUUGUUCGGAAUUACUGGGCGUAAAGGGCGCGCAGGCGGCUGCUCAAGUCAGGCGUGAAAGGCCUGGGCUCAACCCCGGGAAUUGCGCUUGAGACUGGGCUGGCUUGAGUGCGGGAGAGGAUGGUGGAAUUCCCAGUGUAGUAGGUGAAAUUCGUAGAUAUUGGGAAGAACACCGGUGGCGAAGGCGGCCAUCUGGACCGCAA
rnacentral:rRNA from 1 species